rnacentral:snoRNA from 1 species
GGCCUCCUGAUGCUUACCACAGGCUGUGUUCUUACACUGACUGUAUAGAAAGAGGAGGCAGAGUAAACCUACCCCAUCUACACCUCAGCCCAGGCCUUGUGCCUGGGCUGUAUUGCAAAUGGGGGGACAUGG